rnacentral:rRNA from 1 species
GACGAAGGAUGCAAGCGUUGUCCGGAUUCAUUGGGCUUAAAGGGCGCGUAGGUGGACUGAUAAGUCCGUGGUGAAAGCCGUUCGCUUAACGAACGAAUUGCCAUUGAUACUGUUGGUCUUGAGUACAGUUGCUGUGGGCGGAAUAUGACAUGUAGUGGUGAAAUACAUAGAGAUGUCAUAGAACACCGAUUGCGAAGGCAGCUCACAAAACUGUAACUGACACUGAGGCUCGAAAGUGCGGGGAUCAAACAGG